UAUACUCCUUUCUCAUUCUUUCUCUCUUGUUUCAGUUCGUUUUCUCUGCUAAGUUUUAGUAUUUUCAAAUAGUUCAACAAUGGCUACCGACAACGUGCACCAAUACUCUAUGUUAUAAUUCACCUCCAAACGAGUUUGCCGUUCAUGGUCCUUAGCCGAGCAACUACUCCAACGCCAAGCUUGUUUGCUGAGGAACAAAAUUUUCUUCGAAGAAUAAGCUCGACUGGUAGCACAUCCCACCAAUCUAUGUCAUCGAAGGUGAUAUUUAGGUCGCAAUAGGAAAGAAGUCAGUCAUCCACUGCAGCAUCAAUCAUAUAACUAAAAACCAUCGAUGGUACAAAAUUAUAUUGUGUUUUGAUAAAAAUGGAGUGACUCUUAUUGACUGUCUGUUUGCUCGUAAGUGCCCAACUUAGUGUAGGUGGCUCUUGCCUUAACAAUUGUUUUUUUCCUGUCCCUUAAGAUGUGCUUCUAUGUUAUGAAAAAAGUGAUGAGGUAAGAGCCACUUAAACUGAGUUGGGCACUUUGCGGCCGAAUGGACAAUCAAUGAGAGUCGCUCCAUCUUCAUCAAAGCAUAAUAUGAUUUCGUGCAAAUGAUUGUUUUUAGUUGUUUGAUUGAUGUUGCAGUGAAGCCCUGAUUUCUUUCCUAUUGCGGCUUAAAUGACGUUGGAGUAGUUACUUGGCCAUAGACCAUGAAUAGUGAACUUACUUGGAGGUGAAUUAAGACAGUGGGUACAGGUGCAUGUGGUCGGGUGGCCAUUGUUGGACCAUUUGAAAGUACUCAAAUCGAGCAUUUACAAACAAGAUCAAAAUCGAGAGGGGGAGCACAAAAAGAUGAACAUUAGCCAAGAUCAAACUCAAGCAGAUUAGAAUUCUAAACCCUUUAUCUCAUUUUUCUCCCCGUUUCUUUUCUUUCUUUCCCUUUCUUGCAUGGAUGAUAAAAUGACCAAUUUACCCUCUAAGUUGACUUUGACCAAUUAAUUCAGUCUCCAAGACCCUCGAUAAAAUUACAAAAGUUCUAAAAUAUUUUGAAUAUUAAGGUGAAUUUAGCUUA